rnacentral:lncRNA from 1 species
GUUCUACCCUAUAGCUAUGUUUGUGCCACUACCACCUCCUGCCUCAAAGAAACUCUUGCCAGGGUGAUUUACCAAGGAUAAAGAUGUCUAAUUUAAGUUGGACCAACCCAAUUCUCUUUCUUGGAAAUUUGAAACUAGAAGAGAGCCACAUGGAGAAUGAAGGUCUUAUUUCAACUGUUGUUCAGGAAUGAUCCAAACAAAUUCAGAAGCAGAUUUAAAUGUUAUAGGUAAGCUUAUUUUUUUAAAUCAAACUUAAAAAAAUUGAAAUGUCCUCAUGGGUUUUACACCCAAAUACAUAAUAAACAUAUGUUUUUAAAAUAUUAGAUAAUGACAAAAAUAAACAAUUUUAAAAUACUAUUGUUAAUCCUAUCAUACAAAAAUGACCAGUAUUAACACUCUGAUGUAUAUUUCUGAAAUUUUUAAUAGACAUACACACACAUAAAGACAUAUACAUUCUUGCUCUCUCCUUUUAAUUUAAAUAAUUAAAAGUCUUUAAUACUGUAAAACUACUUUACAACUGCUUUAAUCAUAGAACUUCUAAACAUAUACAUAUACAUAAACAUAUUUAGAUUUCAAAAAGCAUAGAUUUACAGCAUCAUUUUAAUGGCGCAUCAUACUCCAUUUAAUGUUAUAAUGUAUUUGCUCAUUUCCGCUUACAUUUAGUUUACCUUCAGUUUUUGGUUCUUAGGAGCUCUCAGGUACUCCCUAGCUCCUUGCAAGACUUGAUCUUGGUUACAAAUUUUUCGUCUAUUUAUGCCUUUAAAAUACUUAAUAGAAACUCAUUUUGCUCAUGAGUAUUUGAUUAAGCAUGCAUACAAUUAGAAAUAAUUACACAUCAGUAUUAUGUCAUGAAGUAACAUUGGUUUUGUACUUUUCUUUUUCUUGUCCUUUUGUAGCAAACACUGGUAAUCUGGAUUUUUCAGUUUUCUCUGGUACUUCCCACUGGUUUCAAACUGCUCUCCUUCCAAAUUUAGUAAUGUUUAUUCCAGAAUGAAUGUAUUAAAUCUGAACUGUUUAAUAAGAGUAGCCAACCCCCAAAGUUAGAAUAAAGGGAAAGGCAAAACAUGCCACCCAUUAAGAAGCCAAGGCAUUACCAAGGUAAUUCUAUCAUCUAUCUCUUUCUCACACAAUGUGAGAUUUGGCAUUCUUGUCUACUCCUUUCCCGGGCUGCAGGCAGGAGAAGAAAAGAAGAUAGAUAUUCUCCUCACAACCCCCCAUACUCAUGCAAACACACACAAAGGCAAAAGUAUUGAUAAUUUAUCACAGAACCACAUCUACUCCUUGUUCUUACUGCCUUGUUACUUUCAUUAUGGUCUUCUCAAUUUAGGAAAACAGAUCUCAUAAACUCUCUUUGGUAAAGCAGAUAAUAAUAAUUUAUUUAAUUUUUACAUAGUGCCAAAAUUGAUCUAAGUCUUAUGCAUGUGCUAACUGAUUUAACAAUUAUAUUGACUCCAUGAGGAAGUUACUAUAAUUAUUUGCAGUUUAUAGAGGAGGAAAUUGAGGCACAGAGAAAAUUAGCAACUAAGGUCAUAGGGCUAGUGAAUGGCAGAACAGUAUUUAAAUCUUGAAAAUCUGAUUUAGAGUUUGCCCUCCCAACCAAUUUGUUAUGCCUUUGUCUAAUUUUAUCGAGUCAAUUAAAUGAAAUGAAUGCUUGGCAGCCCUUGUGUCUAAAUUUGUGACAGAAUUUAUCUACUUACCUUGUAUUAGGAUUGUUAGACUCAGACAACAUAAGGGAAAUCUAUUGUCAUUAGCCCACAUAGACACUAUUCCAAGUCCAUAACCUCAAAUUAAAUUGUCAAUGCUGCCAUGCAUGGCAGGAGCCAAGAGAAUCUUUCUAGACCUUGAUCUUUAUCUUUUAUAAUAAAAGUCUUAGCUGGUGGUCCUGCUGCUGCCAAUUCCAUUUCACACUGUGGUAGAUCCUCCACAGCUGCUAUUUUGAUCUCACUGAUGUAAAUGUUGUCAUUACCUCCACCAUAUCUUGGAACAGAUUCCAUGCUCCAGGCACCAGGUGGGCACAAUGAAUCUAGAAUCUGACUUCCACACUUCCUGAGGCAAAGUUUUCUUUUUCUUUGGAGCUGGGGUUCUAUGUUGGGGCCAAUUCUCUGCCCUCGAGUGCUCAUGACACUCUUCCCUUGGAGAGAAUUUCACCUUCAGCCACGAAAAACUUCAUCUUCAUUUCUCUUAGUUUUAGUCCCUGAGAGUUAACUUCAUUUCCUCUCUCAAAUCCCACCAUUAGCCUUUUCUAUUUUACUUUGAUAUUUGCAUUUACUAAUCAUCUAUCAUUAUAAUAACACUACAUAACAAACUCAAAUCUUAGUGGCUCAUAAUCACAUAUACAGUUGGCCCUCUGUAUCUGUGGGUUCUGCAUCCAAAGAUUAAACCACAAAUCAAAAAUAUAGUGUUCACAGGAUGCAGAACCUAUGAAUUUUGAAGGUUGACAGAGGGCUGACUUUUAUGUGUUGGUUCUACAGGGACAACUGUGGGACUUGAGCAUCUGUGGCUUUUGGUAUCCAUAGAGGGUCCUGGAACAAAUCCCUCAUGGAUAUCAAGGGAGAAAUAUUCAAAUAUAUAUAUAUGUCACACUCAUGGGUUUGUGGGUGAGGCGAACCUUGUCUCAGUUUAUUUGGGCUUGGCUGGAUGCUAUAGUUUGAUUUCAAGUAUACACUACAUGUCUUAUAUUUGGACCGUGGUCUUCUUGGGGGUAUUCUGUUGUUAUGACAAUAGCAGGAUUGCAAGUAUAGAAGCUGGUGGUAGUUAAUUUUAUCUGUCAACUAAACUAGACUAAGGGAUGCCCAUAUAACUGGUAAAAUAUUACUUUUUGGUAUACCUGUGAGAGUGUUUCUGGAAGAGAUUAGUAUUUGGACCAAUAGAAUGGGUAAAGAAGAUCCACCCUAGCCAAUGUGGGUGAGCAGCAGCCAAUCAACUGAAAACCCUAAUAGAAAAAAAAAAAAAGGAGGAGGAAGGGCAAGUGUGCUCACUGUUUUUUUGAGCUGGGGUAUUUGCCUUUUCUAGUAUUUGGACAUCUGAGAGCUCCUGGUUCUCAGGCAAUCAAACUGUAGAACAUACACAGGUACCUCUCUCUUCCCCCUCCCAUUUCUCAGGUCUUGGCCUCAGACUGGGGGUUACACCACCAGCUUUCCUGGUUCUCCAGCUUGCAGACAGCAGACGGCAAGACUUCUUGGCCUUUAGAAUUAUGUGAGGCAAUUCCCAUGAGAAAUAUACUUUUUAUAUCUAUAUAAAUCCUAUUGAUUCUACUUCUCUAGAUAACCCUGACCAACGCAAAGCCAAACCACACAGGCUCAUUUAAAAUUUCUGCUCACAUUAUGUCCACUGGCCAAAGCAAGUUGCUUGCUUGACUCAGCUGUAUAUCAAUAAAGCUAGAAAAUAUAUUCUACUUGCUCUAAUGGAGGUACUCCCAUACCAUGUGGCAAAGGUUAUGGAUGGUUCUACCACAGGGAAGAAAUAAAGAAUUGGGAAAAAUAAUUCUAUGUAUUACUAAAAUAAAUGGAAUUAAUGUGUUCUAAAGUCCCAAAAUUACCAGGUAAGUAUAAAAGAUGGUAUUUUUGUACUAGGUGAGUCCAAGAUAGUUGUAGUAACAUCUAGAAUAGUCAAGAAAAGAAUAGUAAAAUUAUGUGUAUGGCAUUAAAGGUUGAAACAAAGCUCCUCUAAAAAUCUAUGAAUCUUUAAAUCUUAAAACCUUUAACUUUAAACCCUAAACUCUAUGUAUAAAUUUGAGGUAAGACAGAGCAUACAGUCAAGACAGAGGUGAUCUGGAAUCUGGGUGACUGCAAAGAUAGAUUCAUUAAGUUAAAUCUCAUACGAUAUCUGUAUUAUGCAACUCCACUUUAGGCCUCCAGGUUUGAGCAUUAUUACCUGAAAUCUUCUUGUUGGCAGAACAUUUUUUUUUUCACCUUUUAAAGGAGAGAAUCCUCUUUCAAAAGAAAACUAAACAUAAUUUUUUAUGAUGUAAGAAGAUCCGUGUGCUUAGACAAGCUUGAGCAUGAAUAUUUUGCCCUAGUAAUUCAAGCAAUUCCUUUUGUGCCAUUCAGAAAAAGGUCACACAUAGCUAACAAGAUAAGCCUGCGCAUAUCAAACAGUGAAUAUUUGUGCUCUGCUACAUUUAUGUUGGCACUUCUCUCGGCCUUAAGAGUCAAAGGGCAAAGGAAUAAAAUAGCUGCCUGUGUGUUCUGCUAUUCAUUACAGAUUUUCCAUCUGUAUUUAAUAUUCAUUGGAGCCAGGUCAGCAAAGAGGUCAAAGAUCAGCAAGAACACAUCAUAUUAGCUACGACUCAGGGUGCUGAUUAAGAAUCAAGAGUAACAAAAUUUUGGCUACAUUCAAUCAGAAGUCAUAAUCAGAAUGUAUUUUUAAAAAUACAUUUUAUUGUGUAUAUUUGAGGUUUACAAUUAUUAUGGGAUACAUAUUGGUAGUAAAAUGGCUACUACUAUAGCGAAGCAGAUCAACAUAUCUAUAAUCUCACAUAGUGAAGUUUUUUUAAUAAAGAAAUAAAGCAGCUAAAACCUAAUUAUUUAACAAAAAUCCUUAAUACAAGUUUAGUAUCUUCAGUUCUUAUGUUGUACAUUAGAUUUCUAAUCAUGUUCACCAUAAAAAUCUUCUAUGUGUUUUUAUUUAAAGAAUGACUAAAAACAGAACCCUCUUUAAGACUAUCAUUGCAGUUGAAAAGUAAAGAAUGGUUUAAACAUAAUGAACUAUUAGACCAUAAGCUGCUUUGUAUCUUUAAAGAAAUAUACUGAGGUAACUUUGGACUGGCUAAAACAGCACAAGAUGAUCUAGUACAGCAGUUUGCUACCUGUUACUAAUGAUAUUUUAAUGACCACUAUAGCUCAUUUAAUCUGUCUGGUUCCUUCCAGCCAAGAAUGCACCUCAGUUAUCUUUCAUACGUAUGUGUUCAAUCAAAUCAAACACAUUUCUGACUCUCAAACAUAUUAGUACAUAUAUUAUUGUGUAUUAGUAGCUCAUGCCAAAAUUUUACAAACUCCCUUUCCAACUGUGGCUUUUUAUCGAGGAACUGAAUUCCACCUUUGAGAGUAACUUGUUUGCUUUCUCCUAUCUUGCUUUUAGAGAGUAGAACAUCAUGGAAUUAUAAAUUUAAGAUUUCUAAUCUUAUCUUGACUUUAGCUCCAUGGAAAACCUUUCACUUGUAUUUUGUAAAUUUUCCUUCUGAUUAGUCUCUCCAAUCCAAUCCAAACCUAUUUACUUUCCUUAACCUCAGCCUGACCUCACCCUAAACUCAGCAGAUAACAAUGCCUCUUCUUAUCAGAGAAAGCAGUAACUCCUUCAUCGUCCUCACUCUCUUACUGUAGGCUUACGUGUACACCACUUUCACUCUUAGAGCAAGAAAGAACUUUCUGUUCACUGCAUCAUGCACUGGACGAUCAACCAUUUAAAAUGUCCUCUUUCAUUUAUUUAAUUGAAGAAAUCUCUGACUAUACCUGGAAUUUAAGUUUUCUUGCUCCUAAAACUACUCUGUCUCCUGAAUUGUCCAAGUCAAUGAUGUUGCCUAGGCUUCUAGCUGAAAAUCUUCUGGGCCUUCCUGACUUCUAUGUUGCAUGACUUGCCCCCGUUAUUCCAUCCUCCUCCCAUCCUAGAGGGAUGAUAUAAACUCACCCAUCUAGUAACUAAACACUAUGAGUUCUAUCUAAGAAAUGGUUUUCAAUUUUGUCCAUUUCUUCAUUUCCACUGUCACUGCUUUCUUCUAGAUUGCUUAUAGUUGCUCAAUUGAGCUUCAGCAACUAUUUCCUAACUGGAUAUUCUUCAUUAGUGUCUCUUUUUAGUCCAGGUCACUUUCUUCAUGGCAGUGUAAGUUCAUUUUGAAGAAAGGAAGAAGAGGAGAGAGGGAAAGGGGAGAGAGAGCACACAUGCACGACAGAGAGAGAGAGAAAGAGAAAGAGAAAGAGAAAGAGAGAAAAUUAAUCACAUUCUUCUGCUUAAAAAGUUUUUCUGGUAUCUUGUCUUCAGGAAAACAUGUAAUUUUUUUGGCUUACUCCAGAUUGUCUUUCACAUUCUCUAGUGAAUUUCUCAUUAUGCUGUCAUGAUCCUAUUCCUUGAUAUGUACCCUACUGCUCUUCUCAAGAAAAGUCUUGGUGUUUUUUGGCCAAGCCAGGUGUGUUGACAAAUUUAUGGCCUCUGCUAUGUUCCCUCUGCCACUACGACCUGCACUUUUUCAUCAGACAUAUUCUGCUCAACUUUUCCAUUUCCAGCUGUAUUAGUCCAUUCUCACACUGCUGUAAAGACAUAAUUACAACACUGGGUAAUUUAUAAAGAAAAGAAGUUUAAUUGGCUCACAGUUCCACGUGGUUGGGGAGACCUCAGGAAACUUAUAAUCAUGGUGGAAAUAAAAGGGGAAGCAAAGACCUUUCUCACAUGGUGGUAGGAGAGAGAGAGAGCGUGUGUGAGGGUGCAGGAAAAACUGCCAUUUAUAAAAUCAUCAGAUCUCAUGAGAAUUCACUCACUAUCAUGAAAACAGCACGGGGGAAACCACCCCCAUAAUCCAGUCACUUCCCACCAGGUCUCUCCCUCAACACCCAGGCAUUACAAUUCACGAUGAGAUUUGGGUGGGAACACAAAGCCUAACCACAUCACCAGCUCAAAUGCUGCAUUCUUAGGGAAGCCUUUUCUAACAUCUUCAGGCAGCAUUUUGAAACCCUUUAUGCUCUCAUACCACGUAUUCAUAUCUCUAUUUUACUUAAUUUUGAAUUGCAAUGUAUCUGUUUCAAUAAUCAGCUGUUUUUUAUAGCAUCCUGUUUAUACCUGUGCCUUAAAGUUUGUUAAUACUGUAAUCACUUCUUUAUAUUCUAAAUCUCCACUAGAGUGUGAGCAGUUUUAGGCAGGGUCUGUAUCUGUCUUCUUUAUUUCUUUAUCCCCAGAAACUAUCAUAAAUUUAGUACAUAGCAAAUGUUCAUAUGUAUUUGUGGAAUAAAAGAAUCCAUUCAUUUCUCUCCAUUCUUUUCUACAGAGAGAAGGGGUCUUUUCUCCCUAUUUUUGCUUUUUCUUAGUAUCUAUGCCUGUCACAUAAGAUGCAUUCAUACAUGUUUAUUGAAUGAAUUAUCUGUGGCUGCAUUGCAAAUUUAUUUCUUUGAACUGGUUUUUCAGAAAGAAUAAUACUUAAUUUAAGAGCUAAAGACAUGAAAAAAAUUUUCAUUGAUGUAACUUGGUCAACUACAUUCUUUAUACAUCUCAAUUUUUCUGAGUCUCCUCUUAAGGACAAUCUUUGAAUUUUAGAGCCAUUGAGAUGACUAAAUCAGUAAUUGUGAGAUCAUUACUUUACUCCCCAUUACAUUUUUAAACCUAUUUUAAGUACAAUAAAUUCUACAGGCACUUAAUUUUGGAAGUAAUGCAUGGCAAGAGGUUAAAUAAUCAGUGAAAAGAGAGGACAAUGCUCUGACUCACAAAUACCAUUCCUUUUUAUCAAUUAUUCUGGCUCCUGGAGGUCUUCUCUUUAUAGUUUGACCUAUGAGUUGUGUAAGUUUGGCAGAAUAACAAUGUGCUGAUGCACAUACAACAUCAAGUGAAAUCAUCUCAUGGGAAGAACAUGAUAUUUUGUUGUAUAGCUUAUGGAAUUUUGUAAGAAGUACAUUUUGUUUCUUUGUCAUAGCUUCAAAACAUUUUUUUCUUCUUAUAUAGGUUGAUUCCUCCAAACUAAAAUAAAAAGAUUUUCUUUAUAUCUUGUAUAUUGUCAGGCUAAUUAUUUCUAACAACCAACAUAUAUUUAUUGAAUAUUUACCAUGUACCCAUUACUGCAGAAGACUUAAAAGCAAUGUCAUAUAAAUCCAAGUUUCUGACCUCCUCCAGGGGCUGAUAGUUUUCUUAGAGACACAAUAUCUUGCCAUAAAAUCACCCUUCCUUCCUUCCUUCUUUCCUUUCUUCCUUCCUUCUUUUCUUCCUUCCCUCCUUCCUCCCUUACUUUCUCCCUUCCUUCCUUCUUUCCCUCCUCCUUCUCUUUCUCCUCUUCCUUUUUCCUAAUUAGAGGAUUCUAUUUGUGUUUUAGUAUAUAUUUAUAUUUAGGACAUUGGAGUAUAAUAUUUACUUUAACUCCUUCAAUCUUUAUCUAACACUCAGCUAUUUUUGAGUUCUGCAGAAGGAAAUGAAUCAUCAUCUGGAAAAACUGAUUUCCUUCCCACGGUCCUAGAGACAAAUCGAAAUGACCAGUCCCAAUAAAAAAUUGACUAUUUUUCCAUCUAACAUUAAAUUAUGGUCUAAAAUUGGGAGAUAAGAGUAUGACACAUAAAUAUAAAUAAACAAAAGUGUAUAUUCAUUUUGCAUGGAACUACUCAAAUUUGCAACUCAAUCUUUAGAAAUAAAAAUGGUUUAAGAAAAGUUUAGGUUUUCUCAGAAAGAGUGUCAGUAAUUUUGGCCUUAGGGUGAAUUGACCUAAUCAAAAUUACUUCCUCUAAUUUACCACUAUUAACAGCACUGCCUUCACAAACUGACAUACUACACCAGUUGAGAGGUAUGUGACAGCUUUGUUACUGGUGAUACUGCUACUAAUGCUAGUAAUAAUUAUACUUUAAAAUUAGAGAUAAUUCAUGUUUUAGGCCAAUAUCCCUUUUCAUCUUCUGCAUCCUGAAAUAGUUUCUUGAGAGAAGAGGAAAGAGUUGUAGCUCUCAUGCUUGGAAUGCCCAUGGGAGUGUGAGGCAGACUCAAAUUUCAGCUGGUACAUGUGUCACAGUUGAACAUGUUGCAAGUCGUAAGUGAACAUCCUGAAACUUUGAAAAGAAAGUAUGAGAGUAAUUUUGGAGAAUGGGAUAGUGACUAAAUGAGGCAAACAUGGGAGAAGAGAGCAAAUAGAGAGUAUAAGGGUGGAUGCCUUGAUAAAGAGACCAAAAGCAAAGAAAGGAAUACCAAAAGAAGAGUUAGAAAACCAUUGAAACAAAUAGACUACUUAAUAAUUUUAAUUGAAGCAGGACUUGCCAUUUUUUGGAAGAUGACUUUUGACUACUGCUUCCUUUUCUUUCAUGAUAUUAGUUGUUUUUUACUUGGAUAAGUUUUGAUCACUUUUUUUCAAAAAAUUUUCUAGAUUUCAACAUGCACAUACCAGGUUGUAGGUAGUCAGUAGAAUGGAUAGAGAAAUCUCUGGCAUUUCCAGACAAGAGAUUUGCAGAGCAGCUCAGUAAGGUUCUGGAGCAAGGCUAUGCCUUCUGAGGCAUUGCAAGCAGAGCCUGUUGGACACUUAAAAAGCAACUCUUGGCGCACUGCUGGGCUCUAGCAGAGAGUGCGCUGGCCCAUGGGAUAUCAGGUCAUGAUGCAACUUGUUAUGAUCUGACCCACAGAGUCAUGAGGUUGCGCAGGUGCGGUAGUGAUCCAUUAGACUAUGGAAAUAGUUCUUUUGAGGUCAGGCCUGGCCAAACAAGCGGCCAAGACCUGCAUGUCACCUAUGUCACAGCAAUGAGACCUUCGUCUUUUUCUGAAUUUCAUAACAAUGUUUUCAGAAUUUUAGUGUUAUGAUGGCCUUUUCAUUUUGAUACAUAGCUAAACAUAAGGUCAAGAAUAUUUCCUGCAAGACCUAUUAUAAUAACAUUUAAAAAACAGUAAUGGUUGGCAGAUUAUCAAAUGCCUUUUUGACCUGGGUGAAGAUGACUCAAAUUUUUCCUUUUGACCCAAUAUUAAGGAAAUGAUAUUAAUAGAUUUCUUAAAAUUAAAUCUUUCUAUUAUCCCUGAAAUUAAUUCCCCUUUAUUAUACAAUAUUAUUCCUUUAAUAGGCAGGUGAGUUCUAUUUGCUAAUAUGUUAUUUAAAAGUUUUGGAGUGAUAUGGUGUUUGAACUGUAGUUUUCUUUUUUCAUACUCUUUGUUAUGCAGAUUUUAGAAUUUUUCUUUCUUUCUCUAUCAUCUGAAAUAUUUAAAAUAGUAUCAAACCUCUGUUCCUUAAAGUUUUGAUAGAAUUUGCUAGGGAUGAGUUGAAAUAUUUGCAUUUUGACUAUUAAUAAACUUUCUGAAUGCAUUAAGUAGAUCCUUUCACUGUAACGAAUACUUUUAUUAGAAACACAAUUAGUUUCUUUAGGAAUUUAAACAAAAUUGAACAAAAUCUUUACUUUCAGAAAACAUUAUUAUAAAAGUUUAUAAUAAUGGCAUAAUAACUGAGAUUAAAUAAAAUACAUCCUACUAAAUUGGAAAAAAAUCUUAAAAAUCAGAACUCCAACACUAUGUAUGAUUCCUAGAACAAAACUGUGAGGCAGAUAAGUCUAGAGCUUCAGAAACAUAUGUAGUUUUCAGCACGGUGGUUACAUGGACUUGUCCAAGACUAUAAAGAAAUCACCAUCACUGAAAUUUUCUAAAUAUUAGGAGGCAAUAAUACAUACUUG